GGGCAGUAGGGUCUGGCUUGUGGCUCCCAUCACCCAGGCCUGGAAGUGCCGGGUUCUGGACGGGGCCUCUUCCCAGCCUCGCCACGUGCCUCCUGCUGGCCUGGCUCCCUGCUCCGCCUGCCGGAACACUCUUCCUGCCGCCCCCACCCCGGCCUCCUCAGCCUGGGCCCUGGGGCGGGUGGGGUAGGCCUCUGGGUGGGCCGCCCAGGCUGGGGCAGGGGUGACAAAGGCCACAGCUGAGUCCUAGGCCAGCCCUGCCACGGCACCUUCCCUGGGCUGCCGCCCACCCCCUUGGCCCCACCCCAGACCUCCAUUCAGGGGUGCCCUGGUGGAGGCGGGUGCAGCUCGGCCCGGGGACCCCAGGUGACAGCCUGCUUUGAUGGGGACGGCGCCUGAGCCGAAGGUUUGAAGAGGUCUAGCCUCAGCCCGGGGACUCCUCGGGCACGUGAAGGAGAGAACCAGCCUGGCAGCCGGGCCAGGACAAGGCAACAGACGAACAAAGGGACGGAACUUGCUUGAGAACCGAGCGUCGGCAGGGGCCUCCCUGAGAAGGAAGACCUGCGCCUCCUCUCCUGGCCCUGCAGCGCCCAGACGUGCAGUGGAUGGGCCUGUGCGGAGCCCCCACCAGACAGAGGAAGUCGUGGUUAGAGCAAGGCCUGGUCUCAGGGGACACUGGGGACCCAGUCUUGGCACCACUGGACCAGCAGACGUGGACCCUUGGUGCCCUCCUCCGUCAGACUGGGCCGGCAGGGAUGAGGCCGGGCAGGGCAGGGGCGGAAGGGCGAGCCGCGUGGGGCACGUCGCGUGCUGGCGGGACUGCCCCUCUGCGACUGCCGCGGCCUCAGGCCGUCAGCCUGGACCGGACAGGAGGGCGCUGGGAGGGGCCCUGCUCUCUGAAGGCUGCCCGGUGCCCGCCCCCACCCGGGACCAGGAAGGUGGCGCUGAGGGAGAGACGGCCUCGUUCCCAACCUCGUGGCGUUUGGGGCUGUGCCAGCGCCCGCUCCCUGCGCGCAGGACGGAGUAACAGGCGGGCCCACUCGCACACCCCGCGGAAACCCCGCUCCCUCUCCCCACGCGCUGCCUGAGGCCUGUCUCUCCACCGGCCCGAACCUCCUCCCCCCCGGUGUUUCAAACGCCCGUCUGAGAUGCAGCCUGCGUGGCCCCUCGCGGCCAGGCACCGGCUGCAGGCGGAAGGCCCUGUGCGCCCGGCUAAAUGCACCCUCUGUCCGGAGAGGUUGCGAGGCCGCGGCCCUGCUGGCUUUGCUUCCUGCCUCUCCGCUACACGAGCAAGGUCUGGAAUCUUCUCCCAGCACCGCCACACCCCUGCCUGAGUCUGACCACCGUGCACUCGUCACUUCUGCCCUCGGCCAGCUCUGGACAGUUGCACCCAACAGCCACCUGAGCCACCAGGCACCUCGGCGCAGCCCAGCCUGUCCCCCACGGGCAGCACCGGCCCCACCCCCUCGGCUCAGGCCAGGGCAGCCCCCGCCCCCUCACCCCGACUUCACAACAGACCCAGGCCCAGCCCCUUCUGCCCUCCCAGGGACCUGAGUCACCUGCACCUCACCUGCCUGCUGCCUCGCCUGCCCCCUAAGUCCCUUCUCCACACCGGGAUCAGGGACACAGUGAGGACCCACUUAGAUCGGGCCCCUCCGCUUCUCGGUCGGAGGGCCCUGCCCUCUCUGGCUCCGUCAGCUGCAGACGCAGCCCCCCACUGCCCUCCACCUGCCAGGCUCGUCCUGCCUCAGGGCCUUUGCACGGCUGUUCCCUCUGCCUGGACUGCUGCUCCUGCCACGUGAGGAGGUGACUGCGAGCCAGGAAGGGGGUCCUCACCAGAGCCCGACCGUGCUGCACCGGGCCUGGCCCCUCCGGCCUCCAGACUGGGAGACAGAAUGGCCUGUUGAGCCACCCGGCCUGUGGUGCUGUGCUUGGCAGCUGGAGCAGACUGAGACAGCCCCUCCUGAAGCCCACCUGGCUGCUGCACGGGCUGCUGCACCCCACCCCACAUGCCCCCGCCUCGCCUCUCUCCCAAAGCACGUCUAACGCACGACCUGCUUGUGUUUGCUGCUUGUCUCCACCCGGCCUGACGGGACUCGGCUCUGCGACUGUUUUGUCUGUCGGCGUACCCCAAGAGCUCAGGACAGUUUAAAGGAAACCUGAGUCCAGCUGGACCAGCCUCCUGCCAGCCCUCAAGUUGGACAGCGACCGCCACACCCCACAUGACCACGCCCACACAGCCACGCCCUCCAACACCACACCCACAGCUCCAAAGGCCACGCCCACCGGCCAUGCCAGCCCCAGCCACGGCCACACCAGAAUGCAGCCGUCUUGUGCCUCCCCACACUCCACUGCCCGGUGCCCACCAGACCCCCUGUGCCCCCACCAGUGACAGGCUCUGGACAUGCACCUGCCCACCACGGCCCACCGGAGAGUCCGAGUCCAGCCCCUGCCUGGCUCACCUGCGCGGGGGUCUCCCCCAGGGCUGCCCAGGCUCCCAGGGCACUGGCCUGCCUGGUGCAGCUGCAUCCCAGGCAGGGCCCCCGGGCUGAGACAGGGCUGCCGGGCCCCCGGCGCCUGCACACUGCCCUGGGAGGACGCUCCUUCCGCGUCCGAAGGCAGCCGGCCACUGGCAGCCCUGGGGCGGAGGCUUCCGGGGGCCCCUGGCUGGAAAGGGUCUGGCCGGCAGAGGGCCUGGAGAGGGACAGAAGCUGCCUUGUCCGCCGUUCCCCCCCACGGCCCCCCUCUUCCUUGGCUCGGAGAAGAAGGAAAACAGCAGGGGGACCCGGAGCUCCGUGGGAGCCUUUCAAGGCCCUGGCCCAGCCCUGCCCCCACCUGCUGCCGGGGUUGGGGGUGGCUGUGUUGGGCCAGGGGCGCCGGGAGCUCUCAGCAGAGCAACCCCUCAGGAGACCCAGCCGGGGUAGAUUCUGGCCUGUACAGCCAGGGCAGGGGGCCGCUCUCCAGCCCCCACUGGGGCCCACCGGCAGGCUCGAGGGCCCCAGAAGCCCCUGCUCCUUUCCCUCUGUCCUCAGCCUCUGGGGGGGGGUGACGUGUGUCCCCAGUUUCCCAGGACAGGUCAUCGUCAUAACCCCAGAGACCCACCACCACGUCCAGGACUCAGCAGGCCUGGGGGGGCCGAGGCUCCCAGACAUCCCUUCUGGGGGCCCCAGGCCGGGGCAGGGUGGCUGGCUCAGGGACACAGCCGUGCGGGGACCAGGCUCAGUUCUUGGCAAACUCAAGAACCACAGGGUGACAGGGUGGGGCCACAUGGGCAGGGGCAGCUGCCCCCCAGGCCUGCCCCUCACCCACCUGGCAGCCACCUCGGGAAGCCAGCCCGAUGUGACAAUCCCCCACCCCUGGCCCCGUAUUUAUUAAUCUAUUUGG